GACGUGGGGUGCGAGCGUUGUCCGGAUUUAUUGGGCGUAAAGAGCUCGUAGGCGGCUUGUCGCGUCGACCGUGAAAACUUGGGGCUCAACCCCAAGCCUGCGGUCGAUACGGGCAGGCUAGAGUUCGGUAGGGGAGACUGGAAUUCCUGGUGUAGCGGUGAAAUGCGCAGAUAUCAGGAGGAACACCGGUGGCGAAGGCGGGUCUCUGGGCCGAUACUGACGCUGAGGAGCGAAAGCGUGGGGAGCGAACAGG
rnacentral:rRNA from 1 species